rnacentral:rRNA from 1 species
GACGAAGGGGGCUAGCGUUGUUCGGAAUUACUGGGCGUAAAGCGCGUGUAGGCGGUUGCCCAAGUCGGGUGUGAAAGCCUUGAGCUCAACUCAAGAAAUGCACUCGGUACUGGGUGACUAGAGGACCGGAGAGGAUAGUGGAAUUCCCAGUGUAGUGGUGAAAUACGUAGAGAUUGGGAAGAACACCAGUGGCGAAGGCGGCUAUCUGGACGGUUCCUGACGCUGAGGCACGAAGGCCAGGGGAGCAAACGGG